rnacentral:ncRNA from 1 species
ACUAUUUGGAGGAGUUCAUAGUGACGUUGCUUUUAUAUCCUUUGAUGGAGGCUCUUCAUAUCAUUGUGAUGCAGAAUUCAUCAAGUGUUGGAUUGUUAAUCCAUCAAUAGUAAACGUCAGCUGGGUUUAAACAGUU